UGGCCUAUAUAAACCUUUCCUAAAGGACUUUCUAGGUAACUCCAAGUCAAGUCCAAUCAUGUGUCAAGUCCGCAAUGAGUAUAGAGAGAGGAUAGCUAAGACUCUAGCUCUCUCUCUCCUCUCUUCUUCUGACACACUGACAUGGACUCUGGAUCUCUCUAUUUUUGCCUUCUUCUCUACAGAACCUCCUCUAUAACCUUGAGGUAGACUAACUUAGGCAUCAGAAGGUUCCUCCCUGGAAAAUGCUCGGCAAGCGGACUUCACUUUUGGUGUUUCAAGAUGCUCUAGGAGGCCAAAGUGUGGAUUCAGAUCUCUCCAAUGGCUUCUCAAUCUCCAACCAAACUCAUAGAAUCCUAAGUCACCAUUGACUACCUUUCAUCCUUAGCUCCAGCUCAUCCGCUUGAGUCAAAUUGACCCUCGACGGUAACAAAAUUGACACUAGAGGAGAGCCCUAACCCUAUUAUUGGAGGUUAUGCUCAACUACAACCACCAUGAGAAUGUAGAAAGCUCAAGCGACGCCAUCCGCCACCCAUCCCAACAUGCCUAUGACUCCAACGAAGAGUCUCUCAAGAUCUCAUGGCCAACUUUGCACUCCACUCCUCUUCCACGACUAACAUCACAUGCUAUACCCUUGUGAUGCUAUACCCUCUCUGCACAAGAUGCACAUCCUUGGUGAACGGGAUGCAUGUCCAUGAUGGUUUCCCUCUCAUGCCACCCAGGACACAAGUGCCAUGCAUAUGGGACCCACAUUGUUGGAGACUAGGAUGCAAGUACCUAGAUACCAUCCUGGAUGCCAAGCUCCUAGGUCGUGCACUCUUGGAGAUCAGAAUGCAAUCCUUGGAGGUCGAGCUCCCAAGUUGCGCUUCCUUAUAGAUUAGGAUGCAGGUCCCUGGAGGCCGACCAAAGCCAUAUCGAGCUCCCGAAUCACACAUCCUUGGAGAUCAAGAUGUGAGUCCUCGAAGGCCGACCAAAGCCACUCCAAGCUCUUAGGCCGAGCUCCCGAGUUGUGCAUCUCUAGAGAUCAGGGUGCAAGUCCCUGGAUGCCGAGCUCCUAAGUCAUGCAUCCUUGGAGAUCAAGAUGUGAGUCCUCGAAAGCUGACCAAAGCCACUCCGAGCUCCCAAAUCAUGCAUUACUGGAGAUCAGGAUGUGAGUCCCCGAAAAGCUGAGCUCCACAGUCCCUCAUCUUUAGAGAUCAAGAUGAGUCCUUGGAGGCCAACCAGAGCCACUCCAAGCUCCAGGUCGCACAUCAUAAGAGUUUAGGGUGCAAGUCUCUAGACACCAAGCUUCUAGGUUGCACAUCCCUAGAGAUUGGAUGCAAAUCUCUGGAUAACAAGCUCCCGAGUCUCACAUUCCUAGAGAUCGGGAUGCAAGUCCCCAAAGUUCAACCAGAGCCACUCUGAGAUCCCAAGCCUAGCUCCUGGGUCACACAUCACUAGAGAUCGCAAUGCCAAUCUUUAGACAUCGAGCUCCCAAGUGGCACAUCCUUGGAGAUCAGGAUGUAAGUCCCUAAAAGUCGACUAGAGUCAUUCCCAGCUCUCAAGCCAAGCUCCAAGGUUGCGCAUCAUUGAAGAUUAGGAUGCGAGUACCUAAAGGCCGACUAAAGCUAUUCUGAUCUCCCAAGUUAUGCAUCCCUAGAGAUUGGGAUGCAAGUCCUUAGAGGCAAGCUCUCAAGUCACACAUCCCUGGAGAUUGGGACAUGAGUCUUAGGAUGCCGAGCUUUUGGAUCGUGCAUUCCUAGAGAUUGGAUGUGAGCCCUUAGUGGCUGAGCUCCCAUGUCGAGCUCUUAGGCCAAGCUCUCAGAUCAUGCAUCCCUAAAAAUCAGGGCACGAGUUCCUAGAGGCCAACCAAAGCCAUCUGAGCUCUUAGGCUAUGCAUCAUUAGAGAUCGCAAUGUGAGUCCUUGGAGACUGCCUUUCUAAGCCAUUUAAGAAACAAAUGUCGUGUACGCUGAAUGCAAGUCCCUAAAGGCCAUCCUUCCAUGUCAUCCAAGAUGGGAGUGCCAUGCAUGCGGGACAUGAGUCCUUGGAAGCCGACCAAAGCCAUGCCGAGCACUCUUGACCAAGCUCUACAAACCAAGCUCCCUUGCCAUGCGCUUCAAGCUGAUCUCGCAAGGCUGGCAAGAAGAAGAAAAAUAAGCAUGGAAUUUAGUCAACCUCUGACCAAAUUAUCAAAUUAAUUUUCUUUCAAGAAUUUCAGGUCAAGAACUUGGUGCACAAAGCCCACCAUAGGUUGGGUGAGUCUCACAAUGAUCAUCGACAAACUCUCUCUAGCGCAAUAGGACAAGCCAUCCAAUAACUCUAUGACCAAAGCACCUCUAGCUCUUAUGCCAAAAAGUCUUGGCAACCAACCAACCUAUGUAAGCAGGACCCCAAGCUCUUCCGGCUCCCACACCGAAGUCAUGAAGACCUUCCAACCUACAGAGUCGAGAUGGCCGGAGUACAGGCCACCAUGCCUACUCAUAAGCCUCGACAAGCUAGUAGGCUCCAAUUGGCCUGAUAGCCCAAGCACAAGCCACCACGCCCACAAAGCCUCCAUGAGCCAAUCGAUCUAUACAGGCGGAAUGGUUUGAGCACUUCCAACCCCAUGCUGAAAGCUCGAAGUUCUAACUGACCUACACAAGUAGGACAGCCCAAGCACCUUACGCACCCAUGCCUAAAAGUCUCGAAGACCUUCCGAUCUACACAAGCGGAAUGGCUUGGGUACAGGCCACUGUGCCUACUAAGCCUCGAGAGCCAACCGACCUAUACAAGCGAAACAGUCCGAGCACUUCUAGCUAAUAUGCCGAUGUCACAAAGAAAUUCUGACCUACACAGGUGGGAUGGACUAAAACUAAGGCUAGGGGGUAAGCCCCGAACUCCACUUCAACAGCCAUAAGAUCUCAACUCUAGGUAAUCAUUCAACAACACCACACAUUAGAACACAACACAUAAAGAACCAACUUUUCCAUGAAUCAGUUCUGACUACAAAGCUCAGCCUCUACAUUCAGCUUCAUGGCUCGGUUCGUGGCUUUGUGGCUCAACUAUGUGGGUCAGUACACGAUGCCAUGGUUGGUUAUCUCCAGCAACUCUUCUACUUUCGUCACCUUAGCUACCAAGGUACCUCUAUCUCAGAAGUAGGGGGCAAGUGAUUUGCCUCCGAUCCCAGCAUAACAAAACCAACCAAUCAGAGCCUGCCACGAGCCCAUCAUGAAGUCCUCACCUUGGUCAAUCAGUUUUCACCACAUGGUGACCCCGAAAACUGCACAGAAAUGCCCAAAUCCUCCAUCACUCAGUUAUAGCUGGCCCACAAUGGCAGAACAACUUCCAUAACCAUGAGAUCUGCAUCUUAUCGGAUCGUAUCUUCUGGACAUAUGAGUGGUUAUCCUCAACAACCUCCCUCAUACAUCCUAAGAUGCCGAUUGCAAUGAGUAUCAACCUUUAUCCAUAUAAAUCUUUCCUCGGGGACCCUCCAAGUAACUCCAAGACCAAUCAAGUGUCAAGUCCACAUUGAGUACAGAGGGAGGAUAGCUAAGACUCUAGCUUUCACUCUCUCUUCUUCACUGACAAACUGACAUGGAUUAUGGAUCUCUCUUUCUCCAACUUCUCUACUAAACAUCCUCUGUUACCCUGAGAUAAACUAACUUAGGCAUCGGAGGGUCCCCACCAGGAACCCCAACCAACUGACUUCCUUUGCUUUUGGUGUUUCAAGGCAUUCUAGGAGGUCAAAGUACAGAUUUGGAUCUCUCCGACGGCUUUUCAAUAUCCAACCAACUCUCAGAGUCCUUGAGUCACCACUCGGUGCCUCUCAUCCUUAGCUCUAGCUCAUCGCCUAAGCCAGAUCGACUCUAAGUAGCAACAAUUAGAAUUCAAAGAUCCUCCAACCCACUAUGCUUUUGUUAAUGUUGAAAAUGUUAUAAAAGAAGUGUGAUGAGUUGGGCUUUAGUUUCUUUCAGUUUGAAAUUUUAGGAUAUCAAAAAAUAUAGAGAACAUCAAUUAUGGAGUUUUAUUAUUAUAAGUUAUAACUACCCAAAUUAGGGGGGCCUAAUGGAUUUACAUGCUUAGGACAGUAGCGAUGCAUUGUUUUUGGGGCUGAGUGUGAUUUUCUUGGAUUCAUAACCAUAUCUGAGACUCCUAGGAUUUUCAAGAGAUUAUCAAGGUAUUUGUAUAAUUUUGGAAACUUUAAGUUAUAAAAAUCAUCUUGGUCAUAUUUUGAUAACCAUACUGCAAAAUGGAAAUCAGGUCCUUGAUAGGGCACAAGUUGACUAUUUGGGUGUUUAUUUGGACUGUGUUAUAAGGUAACCUUCCACCUUUCUAAUGUUUCUAGCUUAUUAUUUUCUUGAAAUAUAGUUAUGUUAAAUAGCUUCAUAAAAUAUUUUGAAAUUUACAACUAUGAAAUGUGAAAACCUCUUUUGAAUUACUAGCACUACCUUACCAAUAAUGAUGCUUAUAUAUAAACCACUUUUAGGUUACUUCCAAAACACAUAGUUUUACUAUAUACGAUUGUUUUGUCAAAAUAUUUUGUCUUACUUGUUCCGACUAGUUAAGAUUAUUGGUUACUUGUUGGGUGCAGAGCUCACUCUUAUAUCCAUUUAUUUCAGAUAGUAUGGAGGCAUGAGCAUUGACCAUGUGAAAUAUCAGAUAAAUAAUUGUGUAUUUAAAGAAUAAUAAUCUAUUUCUACUCCAAUAGCUUGAAAAGAAUUUAUUUCAUGCACCUUUGAUCAAUAAAGAACAGCUACAUAAUUCAUGACACCAAGUAAUGUAAACGAAUACACUGAAUGGGAAUAAGUUUGAAAUAAUUCAACAAGCAUUCUUAUGCAUGAUUAGAUAUUUGUUUGUGAGUUCUUCAAGCAUACCUUCAUAUAAAUAAUCAUCUUUUAUUAAUUAUGCUUGUAUCUGAUAGUUCCAUACAAACAAAAUAUUCAUAGUAGGUUAUUUGACACAUAGAAAAGAAUACUAGUAAUGAGAAAAUGAUGAUAUUGAUUAAAUAUAUCAUUAUUGAUAAAAAAAUAUUAAAAUUUAAAUUAAAGAGAAAUUAUUAGAUGCAUGCAUAACACUGCUCCUUGUUUGCUUAUAAGUACUUGUUUUCAUUCCAAACUUUUGUACUAGGAUCAUGAAACUUUGUGAGGUGUGGUUGAUUCAACCUUAUUAUAAUCAUUCCCAGCCAAGGAUCGCUGACUUAGA
rnacentral:lncRNA from 1 species